GACGAACGCUGGCGGCGUGCUUAACACAUGCAAGUCGAACGAAGUGGCGAACGGGUGAGUAAUACGUGGGUAACCUGCCCUCCUUUUUGGGAUAAGCCUUGGAAACGGGGUCUAAUACCGAAUAAAGGGGGAUGGGCGCGCGGCCUAUCAGCUUGUUGGAGGGGUGAUGGCCUACCAAGGCGGUGACGGGUAGCCGGCCUGAGAGGGGGACGUGCCACAUUGGGACUGAGACACGGCCCAGACUCCUACUGGAGGCAGCAGUGGGGAAUCUUGGGCAAUGGGCGAAAGCCUGACCCAGCAACGCCGCGUGAGGGAUGAAGGCUUUCGGGUUGGAAUCCUCUUUCGGUACCUGUGGAAUAAGCUUCGGCUAACUACGUGCCAGCAGCCGCGGUAAUAC
rnacentral:rRNA from 1 species